rnacentral:rRNA from 1 species
UACGAAGGGUGCAAGCGUUAAUCGGAAUUACUGGGCGUAAAGCGUGCGUAGGCGGUUUCUUAAGUCUGCUGUGAAAGCCCUGGGCUUAACCUGGGAAUUGCAGUCGAUACUACUUAGCUAGAGUAUGGGAGAGGGCAGUGGAAUUCCCGGUGUAGCGGUGAAAUGCGUAGAUAUCGGGAGGAACAUCAGUGGCGAAGGCGGCUGCCUGGCCCAAUACUGACACUCAGGUGCGACAGCGUGGGGAGCAAACAGG